rnacentral:rRNA from 1 species
GACGAACGCUGGCGGCGUGCUUAACACAUGCAAGUCGAACGGUAAGGCCCUUCGGGGUACACGAGUGGCGAACGGGUGAGUAACACGUGGGUGAUCUGCCCUGCACUUCGGGAUAAGCCUGGGAAACUGGGUCUAAUACCGGAUAGGACCACUGCCUGCAUGGGUGGUGGUGGAAAGCUUUUGCGGUGUGGGAUGGGCCCGCGGCCUAUCAGCUUGUUGGUGGGGUGAUGGCCUACAAAAGCGAAGACGGGUAGCCGGCCUGAGAGGGUGAGCGGCCAUACUUGGACUGAGUUACGGCCCAGAGUCCAUCGGGAGGCAGCAGUGGAGAAUAUUGCACAUUGGGCACAAGCCUGAUGCAGCGUCGCCGCGUGCGGGAUGACGCGCUUCGGGUUGUAAACCACUUUCAGCACCGACGAAGCGCAAGGGACGGUAGGUGAAGAAGAAGAACCGGCCAACUACGUGCCAGCCGCCGCCGUAA